rnacentral:ribozyme from 1 species
AGAUAUCGGAGUGGGUUUUAUAUUUAAUGCACUAAUGUAGCUCAGACCUGUGACAAGCCAAGGCUAGAAAAAUACAGAGUCGUGC